UUGAGUACCAAUGGGAAGAUGCGGUUCGAUUUUGGAAUUCGAAGAAAGGAGAGGACCGUGAGCGAGUUGGAACAAGCAGCAGGCAAAAACAAAAAUUUACGCACACGGCAGGGUCGAAAAGUUUUGCUUGUGUAGCUCAGGCCGAGGAAGCCUCGUCUGGUCAAAAAGUUGGACGCCUUCAACUUUUUGACAUUACGCACAGGAAAAAAGAUGGAACUCCGAUGUCAU